AGAAGGGUACUCUUUACAGCAAUAGUCAAAGUGCCAUAUUCCUUGCCAAGAAUCCGACAUUUCAUUCGAGGACAAAGCACAUUCAGAUUAGGUAUCAUUUCAUUCAGUCCUAACUUGACGAUGGUCAGUUGAUAUUUGAAAAGAUUUGUGGAAGCAAGAACCCUGCUGAUAUGCUGACAAAGGGUGUUACACUCGAGAAACUGAAAUUAUGCACAACUUCAGUUGGUCUUCUAGUCUGAAGGAAAAGGUCACAAGUUGCAAAGGUGGAGGAUAUUCUUUUCUGAGACAGAUGGUGAUACAUUGGUUGAUCAGUCUCCAAGUGGGAGAAUUGUUGGGCCUUUGUUGCUGAGUCUUGGGCCUUUUUCCGUGGAGCCUAGAUUAUGUCUACCCAAGUCCAAGUCCAAGAAUCUUAGGGCUUUUGUCUUUUACACGUUGUUGUAUAUGUUAUUCUUUUAUUUCCUUUUUGGUUGUG
rnacentral:lncRNA from 1 species